UUUAAUUCGAUGAUACGCGAGGAACCUUACCCGGGCUUGAAUUGCAAAUGAACGGCGUGGAGACAUGCCGGCCGCAAGGCAUUUGUGAAGGUGCUGCAUGGUUGUCGUCAGCUCGUGCCGUGAGGUGUCGGCUUAAGUGCCAUAACGAGCGCAACCCUUACCGAUAGUUACCAUCAGGUGGUGCUGGGGACUCUGUCGGGACUGCCGUCGUAAGAUGCGAGGAAGGCGGGGAUGACGUCAAAUCAGCACGGCCCUUACGUCCGGGGCUACACACGUGUUACAAUGGGGGGUACAGAAGGCAGCUACACGGCGACGUGAGGCUAAUCCCUAAAUCCUCUCUCAGUUCGGAUUGGAGUCUGCAACCCGACUCCAUGAAGCUGGAUUCGCUAGUAAUCGCGCAUCAGCCACGGCG
rnacentral:rRNA from 1 species